ACAGCGUGUUGUGUUUUCUGUGGAGUUUUUAAUUCAUGACGUUUUGUUAUUUCGGAUUUACAUGUGUGAUCAAAUGUUUACCUGCCAGAGCUAUACAUAUAAAUGCCAGUAUUAUAUUGAGAAACUUUGAGGUAGCAGGGCAAUAGUGUAGUGUCCCUUUAAGAGAGGAGUGUGCUGUGAGGUCACGUGACCAGUGUUUACUGAGUGAAAAGGAAGCGCGAUUCACUUAGUUGGUAACGACUUCCAACCCGGUGUGCAGCCACUUGGUUUUUUACCUGGUUCCCCUUUUUAAGAAAUAAACAAACAAAUGAGGAAUCUUGAGUAAAGUCCUAUGCAUGCCGGGUUGCCCUUUCCGUGGGGAGAAAACGUAACACAGCGUGAUGCUCAUGGAUCAAGUUAAACGCUUGCUCGGCACUUCCACGAUGCCGCCGUGGCUCAUUCAUUUUUGUGCACGUCACCUGGACCUUCGUACCUUAAUCACUCACCGGACUCGAUGCCGUUUUACAGUGAAUGAAAUUCUCAGUGCCGCAGGUAAAAGUGUCCCCGGCUGUCGCCGUAGCAACCCCCAGGGAGCCAACCCCCUCUCCCCCCCCCCCCCCCUCUCUCUCUCGUCUCCACGUGUUUCCAUUCCCAUCACAUCCAGUAGACAGGUUGCUUCCAGGAGAUCUGGACGCGGGAGGUCGUCCUCUCACUAUUUGAUCGUUCUCAGACCAUCUGAGCGCUUGUUGUGUUUUGGGUCCUUGAGAAACGGACUUGUUUUAUUCAUUCAGCCUUUGUGCCUGAUUGGUUUGGGUUUGCAAAGGACAAAAUUAACCGUUCAACCCUUCAUCGGAAAAACAUAUUUGGUAAAGUAUCGUUUGAUAGAAGCCACGAUUGAGGUGUCAAACUACAUAGAUUAAAACCUGUAAACGGCUGCAGAUCAGACGUUUCCCUCUUGAACCAUGUUUAAAGAGUAAAUAUAUAAUCAAGCAUCGAGUGGUGCGAAGGGUUAAACACCAUUGUGUAAAAGUACAACAACAAUAAACUGUAAUCUUAUCUUGACUGUAACGAGAUGUAUUGGGAAACUCUCCGAAGCAACCACCAAGCAUCCAUCUCAUCGCCAUGCCGACCAUCCGACCCAGUAGAAACCGAACCAGUGCCACAGUAGAAAACCAUACAGGAUCCACUCAGCAAGUCGGGGCAUAAAAGAAUAAACAUACACGGCAAUUUAAGAUAAAAGAGAAGUAUUUAAUUACAGAUUUGCAUGUGCAAUGUGCAUGCCACUAUGUGGGGUAACAAGUCAACUUCAGGAAUCAAAAAAAUAAAUAAAUAUAAAGAAAAAAGUAUAUAUAUGUAAAAAUAUAUAUAGAUAGAUGUUUUUAAGAGCAAUGUGUUUCUUUAUUUCUUCUAUUUUUAAAAACAAAAAAAGAAAAAAAAUCGCCCUGAUAAAAGAAUAAAUAAAUGGAAAUGACUUUGGUGAUGAAAUCAAAGAAUGUUUGUUUGUUAUAUCGCCAGUUAUUUCACGGGGCUUAAACAUUGUGGGGGGGAUGCGAAGGUGGAUAACACUUUAACUAACAUUAAAAAAGUUUAAAAAAUGAUUUUAAAAAGGGGGGAGGAGGAGGAGGUUUUUCCUCGCUGAAAAACUCCCCCUUUGAGAGUAAAGCGCUGCCUGAAUCUGAAUCUGGUGAUGUUAUUCCUGUUUAUUCUGGAUAUGAAACCCUCCUUUCUCUCUCUCUCUCUCCCACCAUCUCCUUCUCUCGCUCUGUUUCUUUCUCUAUCUGUUUCUACCAGUGCAUUUUGUAAUUUCAAACAGAACUCUUCCUAAAGAACCUGAAUAAACCAGAGAGAAUGCAUCCUGCCCA